CCUACGAGUGGCAGCAGUGGGGAAUAUUGCACAAUGGGGGAAACCCUGAUGCAGCGACGCCGCGUGAGUGAAGAAGUAUUUCGGUACGUAAAGCUCUAUCAGCAGGGAAGAAAAACCGGCCUUAGGGCCGCCAGACGGUACCUGACUAAGAAGCCCCGUCUAACUACGUGCCAGCAGCCGCGGUAAUACGUAGUGGUCAAGCGUUAUCCGGAUUUACUGGGUGUUAAGGGAGCGUCGACGGCAGCGCAAGUCUGGAGUGAAAUGCCGGGGCCUAACCCCGGAACUGCGUUGGAAACUGUGCAGCUGGAGUGCAGGAGAGGUAAGCGGAAUUCCUAGUGUAGCGGUGAAAUGCGUAGAUAUUAGGAGGAACACCAGGUGCGAAGGCGGCUUACUGGACUGUAACUGACGUUGAGGCUCGAAAGCGUGGGGAUCAAACAGGAUUAGAUACCCCUGUAGUC
rnacentral:rRNA from 1 species